GGGGAAUUAGCCCACUGUGUGUGUGUUUCUGGGGAAAUCUCAGACACACACAAAAAAAAUACUUAAGGAGUUGUAUAUCUGGUUUUGAGGGAGGCUAUUGAGACCACAAAGAUAAGGGAAAGUAUUUGUUCUGUUGGAAACUGGUGCCAAUCUGUGAGUGGAAGUUAAAUAGGCGAUAGGUAACCUGGACUCCCCUGGGACUGAAUCACUCAGCCUCUUGAACUAAGGACUAAAUGCAAUAACAAUUUGAGUAUUCUAUAUCAAAUUCUUUCAUUGGUGGCAAAAACCAGAUUGUGUAGAGACUGCAAAUCUUAAAAAAAAAAAAAGAGAGAAAAACAGUUUUUAGCAAAGCAAUUUGCCAAAAAAAAAAAACUUUCAUUCUCAUUAGUAUUUAAGAAAACAGGGAAAGACAAAGUGACAAACAAUACAACGUGGAAGGCAAACAUGCAGAACAGUCAAACCUAUUGUAGCAAUUGGACAGACAUUACAACAAAGGCAUAAUGACUGGCACAAUACAGAAGCAUUACGAGGAAGAAGAUUGCUCACCUGUACCAAAAGAUAUCAGGUUUGCAGGACAAAGCUUCACUAAAGAGAAAUCUCCAGAAAAAACAUCCAUCUGUUGUGGCCAUCAGCCCUUAAAUGGGAUCUAGGAGGAGUGCAGCCAGGCUCCACCCCCUUUUGGUCACACAGCUGAAUUGCUUUCACCUGCGCUCCCCAGGCUGACCCAGUCCUUUCCCCAGGUGCUCAAUCAGUGGUUCAGGCUGUGACUCAACAGUUCCCAUACACCUGUACAGAUGCUUUUUGUUUUCUCCUAUGCAGGAAGCCUGUCAGAAGCUAAUGGAUCAGCGGGUGGUUAAAGUACAGAAAGAACUGAAUUUUUACAAGGUUGUGAUAGACAAGCUAAAUUAUUUCUUCACCAUGUGGGAGGUUAGAUGGAUACGAACGCUGGGGCCCUUGCUGCAGCAUGCUUGAAGGUUGCUCUCAAAAUAAGGAAAAUACAUGUGGGACAGAUGUUUGGAAAACAUUUGCAAACCUGAGUGCUGGGAGGGGUCAGCCAGGGAAGUGCUACAGAAUCAGGGAAUCCUUUCCUCUCAGAAGCAUGGGGAUAUUUUUUCCUGUCUUGAAAACCAACCCUGCUGCUCAUUUCUUUUCACA
ensembl:lncRNA